UUAAAAGUGUUAGGAGGUUCCCCUGGAGGC
rnacentral:piRNA from 1 species